rnacentral:lncRNA from 1 species
UGACCCGAGGGGGGCCCCCACGCCCGCUCUGGCCUCUCAGGCUGAGGCACCUAGGGAGUUGCCCCCCUAGUGGACGGCCUCUCAGGAGAUCCUGACCACCCUCUGGGAACCUGGACUCCUCCAAGCAUCGUCUUUCUCGCCUGCAUCUUCGGAGAGAGGUGCUGAGCCCUUCCUCAUGGAUACGGGGUCCCGGGAGGCAGCCUUCACCAGGGACCUGCCCAGGAAACCAGCAGAUGCCCAGGUCAGCCCUGAAAUGUCCAUUACUCACAAAGAAAAGGAAAAUGCUCAUUUGAAAGAAAUUCUUCUCUUUGUCAAUGCUGAGGCAUUCUCUCAGCCCCAGCCCCACAGUGCUCCAGUGUGUGAAGGGCAACAGCUGACGGGGAAGUUCAGCACAUCUGUGCUGACCAGGGCUGGAGGCGAUGCCAGUCCGUGCAGCUGGGAACGCCUCCUCUGCUAUGGCUGGAGCCACUGCUGAAGGGACUCCACCUGGCACCUAUGCCACCAAUGGCCCCUGAACGGGUAUCUAGGCCCACCCUUAAUAAAGAUGAGCUGCUCAUUCCCA